UUUCCGUAGGUGAACCUGCGGAAGGAUCAUUAUUGAAACUUCAUCCGAGGCGCCCCGGCCCGCAGCACCGGUGGAAACGCCGUGUUGCGGGGGCCGCGCGUGCACUCGUCCACACCAAACCCCUGUGAACCUUACGGGAUGGCCUUGGUUAGCGCCCAAUGCCGUUCCGCUUUAUACAAACACCUGUCAUAGAAUUAACUGAAGGCAGUCUGACCUCUGGAUAACAAAACUCAGACAACUUUCAACAACGGAUCUCUUGGCUCUC
rnacentral:misc_RNA from 1 species